rnacentral:rRNA from 1 species
UACGGAGGGGGCGAGCGUUAUUCGGAAUUAUUGGGCGUAAAGGGCGCGUAGGCGGCUGAACAAGUCAAAGGUGAAAUCCCUCGGCUCAACUGAGGAACUGCCUUUGAAACUGUUCGGCUUGAGGCCGGGAGGGGGUAGCGGAAUUCCCAGUGUAGCGGUGAAAUGCGUAGACAUUGGGAGGAACACCAGUGGCGAAGGCGGCUACCUGGACCGGUUCUGACGCUGAGGCGCGAAAGCGUGGGUAGCAAACAGG